CUUUUUGCAGACACUGGGAAUCAAAACCAAAACGCAUGCAACCUUCCACCUUGAAGAACAGCACCACAUCAUCUCUUUGCUAAGCCUGAUUCCCGUUUUCUGGAUAGGAAACUGACACACAAAGUAUCUCCAGAAUCAUAUCAGAGGGACCGCUUCAUCUUCUGCCAUGACUGGAAGCUUCCUGAGGCCCUCAACAGAAGCAGAUGCUGGCACUAUGCUUCAUGUACAGCCUACAGAACCAUGAGCCAAAUAAAUCUCCUUUCUUUAUAAAUUA